UAGAAUCACAUUUUUUGGUGU
rnacentral:piRNA from 1 species